UACGUAGGGUGCGAGCGUUGUCCGGAAUUAUUGGGCGUAAAGGGCUCGUAGGCGGUUCGUCACGUCGGGAGUGAAAACUCGGAGCUUAACUCCGAGCCUGCUUUCGAUACGGGCAGACUAGAGGUAUGCAGGGGAGAACGGAAUUCCUGGUGUAGCGGUGAAAUGCGCAGAUAUCAGGAGGAACACCGGUGGCGAAGGCGGCACUCUGGGCCGGAACUGACGCUGAGGAGCGAAAGCGUGGGGAGCGGACAGG
rnacentral:rRNA from 1 species